ACCCCAGGUCAGGCGGGACUACCCGCUGANUUUAAGC
rnacentral:rRNA from 1 species